rnacentral:rRNA from 1 species
UGCCAGCAUUCAUUGGGCACUCUAAGGUGAACUGCCGGCUAAAAGUCGGAGAAGUGGGGACACGUCAAAUCAUCAUGCCCCUUAUGACCUGGGCUACACACGUGCUACAAUGGGCGGUACAAAGGGUCGCGAACCCGCAGGGGGAGCCAAUCCCAAAAAGCCGCUCUACAGUUCGGAUUGCAGGCUGCAACUCGCCUGCAUGAAGCCGGAAUCGCUAGUAAUCGCGGAUCAGCAUGCCGCGGUGAGUACGUUCCCGGGCCUU